rnacentral:lncRNA from 1 species
UGUAACUUACCAAGCUUAGAGCAUGAGCACUAUGCCCUAUCUUGCUUCAAGACCCACACAGUGGUGGGUUUCCCAAACAUAGAAUGGGUUUUAGAUCCUGGGAAAUCAAGAUAACAACAACUAGCCAACCAACUAAACAAAGAACUUCAAAUAUUAAGUAUCUACCAAAUAUAGAAUUAUCCCUCCAAGUUUUGUUUUAAUCUACACUGUCCCUAGUGGCCAUGUAACUUACAGUCCAAACUGGGGCCACUUUGAGACUGAAAGCGGGUGCUGGGACAACUGUAAAUGAGGACUGUCCUGGGCAAACCAAGAUAAAUGAUUGCCCUACCUAUAUCUGAAAAAUUAUUACUUGCCUUUGAGAGUGCAUCUUUGUCCUACCUCAGAAUUUACUCAUGGGUACAACAACAUGCUGAACUAUAGCAACAGAGUUGUAAGAGCCUGAUAUAUUCUUUUACUCAAGGUGAGGGAUAAAACCCUUGAUGAGGAAUGGAAUCGGAUUUGGUGUGGCUCUAUAUCACUGGGAGUUCUAAAGGUAGAAAUAUCGCAGACUGUACUCUCCAGUCUUUGGACAUCUACUAUGCAUUUUUGUGAUUGAGUUGUCUGGGCCCCUUGGCUGUGGGCUUGGAAGUACUCUGAAUAAUAUGGAUGUCCUGUUCAUCAUGUUUGGAGCUGCAAAGGAGGAAAGCUUUGGAAGGAAAGGGGAAGGAUCUUUUCCUCUCAAUAGAGUGAAAUGUCAUUGGAUUUACACCUCCAAGAUAAUUCCUGUACAACAGAAGGCACUGUUAUCCCAUAACCCCAUUGAUUCUGCAUGGCGGAAACCUGAGACGUGCAAUUCGAUUCAAUCCUCUACAACCACCUUGGUCAUUCAUCCUUUGGAGAAUAGGAUUUGUCCUUUUCUGUUCACUGACGAUGUCUUCUUUUAAUUUCAUACAUUACAGUAGCUGCUUAGAAUCUAUAUUUCGGGGUGAGAAAGGUCAAAGGGGAAGAGGGAGUGGAUAAAAGUGCUGCCUGAUGCCCGAGUUAAUGGGCACAGCAGGUGGGUGCUGAAGAGCAGCCCACUCUUUUCCUCCCCUCCUCAGCAGGAAGCCUGCUUCUCCCCUUCCACCUACUCUUGCUCCUGCUCUCUCUCUCUCUCUCUCUCAAACAAACAAACAAACAAACAAAUAAA